UUUAGGUGAGGAAGAGCUGGAGAUGUGUGCCACAGAGCUCCUUAUACCAGGGUAUUUUACCCAGUUUAACCACAGUAUAUGAUUGCCCUGCUGAAGAUUCUCUUGGCUGCUGCUCCCACAUCCAAAGCCAAGACCGACUCCAUCAACAUCCUGGCAGACGUGCUGCCCGAGGCAAAUGCCCACUACGGUUCUUGCAGAGUAUGAAGUUGGGUGUAGAUGUGAACUGUGCGCCAU